UACAGAGGGUGCGAGCGUUUAAUCGGAAUUACUGGGCGUAAAGCGUGCGUAGACGGUUAUUUAAGUCGGGGUGUGAAAGCCCCCGGGCUCAACCUGGGAAUUGCAUUCGAGACUGAAUAGCUAGGGUACGGUAGAGGGAAGCGGAAUUUUCCGGUGUAGCGGUGAAAUGCGUAGAUAUCGGAAGGAACACCAGUGGCGAAAGCGGCUCUCUGGGGACGGGUACUGACGCUGAGACGCGAAAAGCGUGGGGGAGCGAACAGG
rnacentral:rRNA from 1 species